rnacentral:rRNA from 1 species
GCGCUGCAUUAGCUAGUUGGUAAGGUAACGGCUUACCAAGGCAACGAUGCAUAGCCGACCUGAGAGGGUGAUCGGCCACACUGGAACUGAGACACGGUCCAGACUCCUACGGGAGGCAGCAGUAGGGAAUCUUCCGCAAUGGGCGAAAGCCUGACGGAGCAACGCCGCGUGAGUGAUGAAGGUCUUCGGAUCGUAAAACUCUGUUAUUAGGGAAGAACAUAUGUGUAAGUAACUGUGCACAUCUUGACGGUACC